rnacentral:lncRNA from 1 species
GAGAUGGAGUUUUGCUCUUGUCUCCCAGGCUGGAGUGCAGUGGCGCGAUCUCGGCUCACUGCAACCUCCGCCUCCUGGGUUCAAGCGACUCUGCUGCCUCAGCCUCCCUUGUAGCUGGGAUUACAGGCACCCACCACCAUCCCUGGCUAAUUUUUUGUAUUUUCAGUAGAGACAGGGUUUCACCAUGUUGGACAGGCUGGUCUUGAACUCCUGACCUCAGGUGAUCCACUCGCCUCGGCCUCCCAAAGUGCUGUGAUUACAGGCAUGAGACACCAUGCCCCGCCAGUACAUGCCUUUUAAUUCCAUAGAAAUAACUUUAGAACCUUGAGGCACUGUGUUGUUAGUACUGCAGCUCCUUCAAGAUGUUGAGGAAGUAUAUGCCGGAGACAUCUGUGCAUUGUUUGGCAUUGACUGUGCUAGUGGAGACACAUUCACAGACAAAGCCAACAGCGGCCUUUCUAUGGAGUCAAUUCAUGUUCCUGAUCCUGUCAUUUCAAUAGCAAUGAAGCCUUCUAACAAGAACGAUCUGGAAAAAUUUUCAAAAGGUAUUGGCAGGUUUACAAGAGAAGAUCCCACAUUUAAAGUAUACUU